rnacentral:rRNA from 1 species
UACGGGGGGGGCAAGCGUUGUUCGGAAUUACUGGGCGUAAAGGGCUCGUAGGCGGCCAACUAAGUCAUACGUGAAAUCCCUCGGCUUAACCGGGGAACUGCGUCUGAUACUGGAUGGCUUGAGUUCGGGAGAGGGAUGCGGAAUUCCAGGUGUAGCGGUGAAAUGCGUAGAUAUCGAGAGGAACACCUGCGGCGAAGGCGGGUUGCUGGGCUGACACUGACGCUGACAGCGCGAAAGCUAGGGGAGCGAACGGG